AGAACAAAAAACAAUACAGCGAAGUUAUGACGGAGUGCGUGGUGAAGAACACAAUCAUGGCACUGAGCCGUUUUAGUUCAAGCUAUCGAGGAAAGGACCUUCAAGAUGCGAUGGGUCUACUUAUCGAUGGGAGGAAAUGCCUCCUCAGAAACAACCUCAUUCCUGAUACCGUUGACGUGGCCUUACAGUGCGUCCGCUGGCUGCGAACGGCUAUAUUUUGAUAGUCCUACCUACGAAAUAUUCCUUAAUCGCCUGUGGAAGCGGCGUGCUGAAGCAGUGCUUAAAGUCAUAUCCCCGCAGUA